rnacentral:rRNA from 1 species
CGGGGGGUUGUCGGGAUUAUUGGGCGUAGGCGCGCGCAGGCGGUUCCUUAAGUCUGAUGUGAAAGCCCACGGCUCAACCGUGGAGGGUCAUUGGAAACUGGGGAACUUGAGGACAGAAGAGGAGAGUGGAAUUCCACGUGUAGCGGUGAAAUGCGUAGAUAUGUGGAGGAACACCAGUGGCGAAGGCGACUCUCUGGUCUGUUUCUGACGCUGAGGUGCGAAAGCGUGGGUAGCAAACAGGAUUAGAUACCCUGGUAGUCCACGCCGUAAACGAUGAGUGCUAGGUGUUAGGGGGCUUCCACCCCUUAGUGCUGAAGUUAACGCAUUAAGCACUCCGCCUGGGGAGUACGGCCGCAAGGCUGAAACUCAAAGGAAUUGACGGGGGCCCGCACAAGCGGUGGAGCAUGUGGUUUAAUUCGAAGCAACGCGAAGAACCUU